rnacentral:rRNA from 1 species
UACGUAGGGUGCGAGCGUUAAUCGGAAUUACUGGGCGUAAAGCGUGCGCAGGCGGUUCUCCAAGUCCGUUGUGAAAGCCCCGGGCUCAACCUGGGAAUGCCAUUCGAGACUGCAUAGCUAGGGUGCGGAAGAGGGAAGCGGAAUUUCCGGUGUAGCGGUGAAAUGCGUAGAUAUCGGAAGGAACACCAGUGGCGAAAGCGGCUUCCUGGUCCAGCACCGACGUUCAGGCACGAAAGCGUGGGGAGCAAACAGG